GACCUGAAACACACCCGCCAGCCCCGCCCCUGUCUGUGCACUGGGCACACACUUGGGUUCCAGGCUCCUUGCCAAGAGCGCGCGGGCACCCUGCGUGGCACACUGGCUGAAGUUCUUGCAAGAAGUGGCGGGUGGGUGAGGAAGGCGCGGUGGGCCGCGCGCGGGCCGCCGGCUGCUGGCAGAACGCGCAAGUUUCCGGGCUCCACUUCGCCACUGCUCGACCCGGGAUCCCUCUGCGGAGGCCCUCGGGGGCCGGCGGCGGGCUGGGAGAGGCUGGGUCCAGAAAUCGGUACAAACCCAUAGCCAGCCUCCCACCCCGAAAUGACUGAACCGAAGGAGACGGAGGAUCAAGUAAAAUGGUUUCAGGCUUAAAGUCAGCAGUGCACAACCUACAGCUUCGGAGGGAAAAUAAAAACGCGACCAGUCACCCAGGGCGUGUGAAUAAAGCACCUCUGACUCGUCCGAAGGAAGGCAAAGACGAAUCACGUUCGCUGUAGACAUUUAAUGAUCUCAUGGAGCCCAGGCUGGACUCAAACUUGCUACGGGAUUGAGGAAGCCCUGGAACUUGUGAUCUUCCUGUACCUAUCUGCUGAGCGCUGGGAUUACAUGCAUUUGCCACCACAGCCGGGAGUCACACCAGGGCCAGUGGCUGCGGGGCAGUCUUCCAGCUGAGCGGCACAUUUCCCUCUCCCCUCCUCUCCGGCUCACUCUUGAGGCACCGAGUGAAUCCGGGGCCUCACACACACGCCAAGCAACUGCACUACCCGUGGGCUGCCUCCUGAGCCUGUGUGGGCACUUCUAAACUGAUGCCCCCACACCCUCUCUCCGGGCUCCUUCGCUGGCCUGCCUGGCACAGAGAAGCACCACUUACCCACUGGAUCUCUUCAGGGCCUUCGACCUUCGGCAGCAUCAGGCUAGAGGGAAGAGCUCUGGCCUGCAGAAGUGCCUCGAGGUCGGCUUCCACCAGACCACUGGACACAGAGUUGAUUCUCACACACUUCUCUGUUCUUCCCAGGUCAAAGUCGUCAAGAGUCUCUGCUAUUCUCAAUCGGGCUUCAGUCUGUAAAUAUUAAGAAAACGUAGCUCCCAAGUUUAUUCUUACCAUUAAGGAGAACCCAAAUUAACAGUCUCCAGAGCUUUGAUCGGUACUCAUGAACACUGUGAUUGGAGUAACACGCUUUCUGCCCACCCAAUGAUACUGGAAGUGAAGGCUUUCUGCGCACUGUUUAGAAAGCUGAACGAAGAUGGUUGAAACACGGUUUGCACCAUCGGGCACACUGGCACACCUCUGAACGGCAGUGAUUUGCUUGUUAGCGACUUUCCAGGUGAGGAAGCGGGCAUUAAUGGUGAACUAAGCAGGUUCCAGGUCUUCUACCCACAUUUCUUCGUUUAAUAAGUCUCAGAACCUGGAUGCCAUUGGAACUGUGGCUGUGUCACCUGUCAGCAUAUUCUCACUAGGGAAAGCUAAGCAUUUGCUCUCCUUCUCCACAGGGAUCACACUUUUAAAAAAUCCUCUUUUUUAUUUUAUUUGUUUUGUGACCAAGUUGUGUUUUGACAUUCGAUUAAGAAGGCGCUCACGGGGCCUGACGGACCACGUGAGAAGCUCCUGCCAACUCAGGCAGAAACGCCAACCUCAAGCAAGAAAUCCCUCCACAGAGGCCUGACACACGGACUGUGUUCUCUGACCUGACAGUCUUUGCUGCCGUUAUGAAAAGCUGAAAGUCACAUUUGAAUUAUCCUGAGAAAAACUGUAUGAGACCAAGUGUGCUACGUGUGAGCUUUGAGUUCGAUGGGUGUGAGCAAGGUGCACACUAAAAGGGGUGGGGGUUGGUGCUGAGCCAAAGGAAGCUCUUGGGGCCAUUAUUUCCUGCCAAUUCUGGUUUCAAAAACAAAGUUUUCCAUCUUGCCAACAGCCCUCAACAAAUUCUCACUGCAAGAACGAAUGCUUACAAAAGGUAGUUUCAUUUGGGAAGAAUUUUUAUUACACCAAUAAAAAUUUAAAGCAUCUUAA